rnacentral:rRNA from 1 species
AGUGAACGCUGGCGGUAGGCCUAACACAUGCGAGUCGAACGGCAGCACAGUAAGAGCUUGCUCUUACGGGUGGCGAGUGGCGGACGGGUGAGGAAUACAUCGGAAUCUACUUUUCGUGGGGGAUAACGUAGGGAAACUUACGCUAAUACCGCAUACGACCUACGGGUGAAAGCAGGGGAUCUUCGGACCUUGCGCGAUUGAAUGAGCCGAUGUCGGAUUAGCUAGUUGGCGGGGUAAAGGCCCACCAAGGCGACGAUCCGUAGCUGGUCUGAGAGGAUGAUCAGCCACACUGGAACUGAGACACGGUCCAGACUCCUACGGGAGGCAGCAGUGGGGAAUAUUGGACAAUGGGCGCAAGCCUGAUCCAGCCAUACCGCGUGGGUGAAGAAGGCCUUCGGGUUGUAAAGCCCUUUUGUUGGGAAAGAAAAGCAGCAGGUUAAUACCCCGCUGUUCUGACGGUACCCAAAGAAUAAGCACCGGCUAACUUCGUG